UACAGCUUGCCUGACCUGAUUAUCUUGGCUGCAGUAACAACUAGUGAAAAAGUCUGGCCAGCAUUCAAGUGUGAUUCAUCCCAAUGUAAGUGAGGUCUCUGUGCAGCAUCCCAUGGAAGGCAAACUGAGCCAGUUACUGCCUAAAAAGGAGAGUUCAGCUGAGAAAGAACAAUGUAACCCUCUUCAUCCUGAUGUGACUAAGGACUGGAAGUCUGAUGAAUAGGAGCAAUCAUCCAAAAGCACUACUGUCAGUCUAACUUUGCAGUUUUGGUUGAAGAUCUUUCCUGUAGGCUACAACAAUACUGAAACUGGCUUAAAGAUUUUGUCUUAGGCUCUUUUUUAGUUUUGUAUCAAAUGUUAUCACUACGGUAUCUCUGCACUGCAAGUAUAAUUUCCUCCUUUUUGACAGGGGUUUCUAGUCAAAAUUUACCCCUGUGGAGGUAAAGAAAGCUCUAAUAAUUUCUUGAGUAAAUAAUCACAGAUAAUGUACCCUAUUCUAAAAGGAGUACUUUCUGUUUGCCAUUGUCCACUAUCUGUAAAUCUCAGAUGUUUAUUCAUUAGGGUAGUGAUUAUAAACCCAGUCUUCCAGGGAACAGCCAUAGUCAUUAAGCAAUGGGGUCUGAAUAUUUACUAUGAAUAUUUUUAAGUAUUUUAUAUUAAGUAGAUUAGCUUCACUGACAGGAGAUGAGGGAUUUUAGAGUAUGCUCUUGUGUGAUAGCCUGUUCAUUCUUGAUCUGGUAGAACAUUUUCUGUUGGGAGGAUAAGAUGUGACUUCAAAUCUGUGUUCCAAAGCAAGUGGGAAAAGAAAGUAAGACUGCACAUUUUGCUUGAGUGCACCAUGCACCGGGCUACUGAACAUUUGAAAUGGGUCACCAGGUUUUGCUUAUGAUUCAAGCUGGUAAAGAUGUCCUGAAAUAUUAUAUAAGGACUUGCCAAGAAGAAAAACACAGCUACAGUUUGUGAAUCUUGCUACAGUUUGG